rnacentral:rRNA from 1 species
GAUGAACGCUGGCGGCGUGCUUAACACAUGCAAGUCGAACGAAGAUAUUAAGAAUGAGAGCUUCGGCAGGAAUUUUUUCUAUCUUAGUGGCGGACGGGUGAGUAACGUGUGGGCAACCUGCCCUGCACUGGGGAAUAAUCAUUGGAAACGAUGACUAAUACCGCAUACGGUUCCUGGGAGGCAUCUUCUGGGAAAGAAAGGAUUUAUUCGGUGCAGGAUGGGCCCGCAUCUGAUUAGCUAGUUGGUGAGAUAACAGCCCACCAAGGCGACGAUCAGUAGCCGACCUGAGAGGGUGACCGGCCACAUUGGGACUGAGACACGGCCCAA